AACGAACGCUGGCGGCAUGCCUAACACAUGCAAGUCGAACGAAACCAAGGCUUCGGCCUGAAGUUUAGUGGCGCACGGGUGCGUAACGCGUGGGAAUCUGCCCUUGGGUUCGGAAUAACUCAGAGAAAUUUGAGCUAAUACCGGAUGAUGACGUAAGUCCAAAGAUUUAUCGCCCAAGGAUGAGCCCGCGUAAGAUUAGCUUGUUGGUGAGGUAAAGGCUCACCAAGGCGACGAUCUUUAGCUGGUCUGAGAGGAUGAUCAGCCACACUGGGACUGAGACACGGCCCAGACUCCUACGGGAGGCAGCAGUGGGGAAUAUUGGACAAUGGGCGAAAGCCUGAUCCAGCAAUGCCGCGUGAGUGAUGAAGGCCUUAGGGUUGUAAAGCUCUUUUACCAGGGAUGAUAAUGACAGUACCUGGAGAAUAAGCUCCGGCUAACUCCGUGCCAGCAGCCGCGGU
rnacentral:rRNA from 1 species